CUGAUUACUGAACAUGACUGGAAAAGUAUUUGUACAAGGAAAUGUAGGAAAUCUGUCACUUGUAGAUUCCUGCAUGAUUGCACGUUUCGUCAUUGUGCGAUUGCAAUGAAGAUUACAUUGGAGUAGAGAUGAGGGGAGUGAAUAGACCUUUUCCUCUGGACAACCUGUCCCCUGGAAGAUCUAUGAAGCUACUCCCCAGAGGAGCUUGCUCCCAGAAAUAGUCCUGAUCAUUCUGGGUUAUUCUAAGAAGAUGCCUGAAGUGAGCUCCUUUUCAAAAGAAGAGCAGGAGGUCAGAGGAGAGGAAGAGGCCACUGUUUGAGAAGGUAA